rnacentral:rRNA from 1 species
AGAGUUUGAUCCUGGCUCAGAGUGAACGCUGGCGGCAUGCCUUACACAUGCAAGUCGAACGGCAGCGCGGGGCAACCUGGCGGCGAGUGGCGAACGGGUGAGUAAUAUAUCGGAACAUACCCUAGAGUGGGGGAUAACGUAGCGAAAGUUACGCUAAUACCGCAUACGACCUACGGGUGAAAGGGGGGGGAUCGCAAGACCUCUCGCUAUUGGAGCGGCCGAUGUCAGAUUAGGUAGUUGGUGGGGUAAAGGCCUACCAAGCCGACGAUCUGUAGCUGGUCUGAGAGGACGACCAGCCACACUGGGACUGAGACACGGCCCAGACUCCUACGGGAGGCAGCAGUGGGGAAUUUUGGACAAUGGGCGCAAGCCUGAUCCAGCCAUGCCGCGUGCGGGAAGAAGGCCUUCGGGUUGUAAACCGCUUUUGUCAGGGAAGAAACGCUCUGGGAUAAUACCCUGGGGUAAUGACGGUACCUGAAGAAUAAGCACCGGCUAACUACGUG